UAAUACGGAGGAUGCGAGCGUUAUCCGGAUUUAUUGGGUUUAAAGGGUGCGUAGGCGGAUAGAUAAGUCAGUGGUGAAAACCUGCAGCUUAACUGUAGACUUGCCGUUGAUACUGUCAGUCUUGAGUAUGGUCAAGGUAGGCGGAAUGUGUAAUGUAGCGGUGAAAUGCUUAGAUAUUACACAGAACACCGAUUGCGAAGGCAGCUUACUGGGCCAUUACUGACGCUGAUGCACGAAAGCGUGGGGAUCGAACAGGAUUAGAUACCCUGGUAGUCCACGCCGUAAACGAUGAUCACUCGCUGUUAGCGAUACACAGUUAGCGGCUAAGCAAAAGCAUUAAGUGAUCCACCUGGGGAGUACGGCCGCAAGGCUGAAACUCAAAUGAAUUGACGG
rnacentral:rRNA from 1 species